rnacentral:rRNA from 1 species
GAUGAACGCUGGCGGCGUGCCUAAUACAUGCAAGUCGAGCGAACGGACGAGCAUCUUGCUUCUCUGAUGUUAGCGGCGGACGGGUGAGUAACACGUGGAUAACCUACCUAUAAGACUCGGCUAACUUCGGGAAACCGGAGCUAAUACCGGAUAAUAUUUUGAACCGCAUGGUUCAACAGUGAAAGACGGUCUUGCUGUCACUUAUUGAUGGAUCCGCGCUGCAUUAGCUAGUUGGUAAGGUAACGGCUUACCAAGGCAACGAUGCAUAGCCGACCUGAGAGGGUGAUCGGCCACACUGGAACUGAGACACGGUCCAGACUCAUACGGGAGGCAGCAGUAGGGAAUCUUCCGCAAUGGGCGAAAGCCUGACGGAGCAACGCCGCGUGAGUGAUGAAGGUCUUCGGAUCGUAGAACUCUGUUAUUAGGGAAGAACAGAUGUGUAAGUAACUGUGCACAUCUUGACGGUACCUAAUCAGAAAGCCACGGCUAACUACGUG